rnacentral:ncRNA from 1 species
AUCGAUAAAGGCAAACCCUGAGUGAUCAGGGGGCGCAAAGUGAAGGAUCUUUGAAGUAGUGGCAUGCUCAUAAAGUAUGCUGAAAGAUAGCCUUACUGCCGAAA